UUGCCCCAGUAACGGCGAGUGAAGCGGCAAGAGCUCAAAUUUGAAAUCUGGCCUCCCCCGUGGGGGCCCGAGUUGUAAUUUGGAGAGGAUGCUUCGGGUCCGGCCCCUGUCGAAGUGCCCUGGAACGGGCCGUCGGAGAGGGUGAGAAUCCCGUCUGGGAUGGGCCGCCGGGCCCGGGUGAAGCUCCUUCGACGAGUCGAGUUGUUUGGGAAUGCAGCUCCAAGUGGGUGGUAAAUUUCAUCUAAAGCUAAAUACUGGCCGGAGACCGAUAGCGCACAAGUAGAGUGAUCGAAAGAUGAAAAGCACUUUGAAAAGAGAGUUAAAGAGCAUGUGAAAUUGUUGAAAGGGAAGCGCUGGCGACCAGACUCACGCGGGGAGGUCCCCCCGGCACGUGUGUCGGCACAUGCCCCCCCGUGUGGGCCAGCGUCGGUUCGGUGGGGUCGCUGAAAGGUCCCCGGAAUGUAGCGCCCUCCGGGGCGUCUUAUAGCCGGGGAUGCCAUGUGACCCUCGGGAUCGAGGAACGCGCUACGGCUCGGACGCUGGCGUAAUGGUCGUGAGCGGCCCGUCUUGAAACACGGACCAAGGAGUCUAACAUCUACGCGAGUGUUUGGGUGUCAAACCCGUGCGCGCAGUGAAAGCGAACGGAGGUGGGAACCCCCUCGGGGGUGCACCAUCGACCGAUCCGGAUGUCCUCGGAUGGAUUUGAGUAGGAGCGUAGCUGUUGGGACCCGAAAGAUGGUGAACUAUGCCUGAAUAGGGUGAAGCCAGAGGAAACUCUGGUGGAGGCUCGCAGCGGUUCUGACGUGCAAAUCGAUCGUCAAAUUUGGGUAUAGGGGCGAAAGAC
rnacentral:rRNA from 1 species